UACGGAAGGCAGCAGUGGGGAAUAUUGCACAAUGGGCGAAAGCCUGAUGCAGCUAUGCCGCGUGUAUGAAGAAGGCCUUAGGGUUGUAAAGUACUUUCAUCGGGGAGGAAAAACAAAACUAAUAAUUUUAUUUCUUGACGUUACCCGAAAAAGAAGCACCGGCUAACUCCGUGCUAGCAGCCGCGGUAAUACGGAGGGUGCUAGCGUUAAUCAGAAUUACUGGGCGUAAAGAGCACGUAGGUGGUUUUUUUAAGUCAGAUGUGAAAUCCCUGGGCUUAACCUAGGAACUGCAUUUUGAAACUGAAAUACUAGAGUAUCGUAGAGGGAGGUAGAAUUCUAGGUGUAGCGGUGAAAUGCGUAGAUAUCUGGAGGAAUACCUGUGGCGAAAGCGGCCUCCUAAACGAAUACUGACACUGAGGUGCGAAAGCGUGGGGAGCAAACGAGGAUUAGAUACC
rnacentral:rRNA from 1 species